CAUUGUAUUUUUAAAUCCUAUCCCAUAUUGUGCCCAUACCAAUAUGUUUCGUAGUAAUUCUUCGAAAUCGUUGGACUGCGACGAAGAAUACGCCGAGACAAUAUUAAUCCAAAGCCCUUUUGUGGAAACUACGCGGGCGGGAAAACAUUUAAGCUCUGUGAUAAUUUCCCUUACACCGAGAAAAUUAAUGGUUAAAACGUCAAAUGCCCAGAAUCUCUUAACACGGUCAGAUGAAUCAUUGUCGUUCGAUUAUUUUUACCCACUCGACACAACCACACUCACAGUAUUCAAAAAAAGCAAACGACAAUCUAUUAAACUCUGUUUUAAUAUGAUAACCACGAGAUAUUUUGAAUUAGGACAAUGGAGCAAAAGACGGGUAUUUUGGAAGUUGUGGUGUAUUCACGUUGUGGAAUUAAAUACGGAAAAGCUCAAGUGGCCAUUCGUACAAUCGCAGAACAACUCAAAAUAUACCGAUGCUGACGAUGUUUUGAGUAAAAAGAAGACCAUAAAAUGGACGGACAAAUACUUAUAUUUGGGUUCAAAAAGGGAGGCGGAAGACAACAAUCGACCUAAACCUGUCCCAGGACUCGGCCCUCCCGAGAAUAUCAAGUUAUUGUACUUGAAACAGAAAUAUUUUGGGUGCUGGGAUCAGUCGGAGCAUUGGGUGCAGUGCGACAGUAACUCUUCGUCGCAUUUACGUGAUAAGUGAUGCAUAGGAAGAUACUUAUCUAAAGAAAGGUAUAUUUUAACGUAUACUUAGCAAAAUUAGAAUUUGAGUUAGAGAGCGCCAAUUUUAAAAAGUUUGAACUAAAAUAAUCCUAUCUUUGAUUUAUGAUAUCAUACAUGGAUUCCUACCUACUACUUACUUCUUAAUAUCAUAGUCGCGCUUGUUUUACUCUGAAAUUCUAAAUCUAACACUUAUUUGGGAGUAAGUAGGUAAUCAAUAGAUGAAUAGACUCAUGGUGAGUGGUGGUGU